rnacentral:rRNA from 1 species
AGGCAGCAGUGGGGGAAUAUUGCACAAUGGGCGCAAGCCUGAUGCAGCCAUGCCGCGUGUAUGAAGAAGGCCUUCGGGUUGUAAAGUACUUUCAGCAGUGAGGAAGGUGGGUAUGUUAAUAGCAUAUUCAUUUGACGUUAGCUGCAGAAGAAGCACCGGCUAACUCCGUGCCAGCAGCCGCGGUAAUACGGAGGGUGCGAGCGUUAAUCGGAAUUACUGGGCGUAAAGCGCAUGCAGGUGGUUUGUUAAGUCAGAUGUGAAAGCCCGGGGCUCAACCUCGGAAUUGCAUUUGAAACUGGCAAACUAGAGUACUGUAGAGGGGGUAGAAUUUCAGGUGUAGCGGUGAAAAUGCGUAGAGAUCUGAAGGAAUACCGGUGGCGAAGGCGGCCCCCUGGACAGAUACUGACACUCAGAUGCGAAAGCGUGGGGAGCAAACAGGAUUAGAUACCCUGGUAG